CCUGGGCAGCCUGUGCCGGUGUUUCACCGCCCUCGCUGUGGAAAACUUCCUCGUGUUUGGAGGGAGUGGAUGUACCAGGUGGAUGUUUUCAUUGUAAAUGUUGUGCUUUGGUAUUUUCUUGGUUUGAAAUCUACGUGGCAAGUUGAGCUAAGUGACAAUAAACACCGCGCCCUGUGUUUAUUUUCCAGAUAGGCUUCGCCAGUGAUCUUCAGAGAAGGUGUAGAUCCUUGCACAACACAUUUAAUCCCUUUACCACGGUCACGGUUUUCUUACAAGCUUGCUGUUGUAAGGUUUCAAUGCAGGACAACUUACAAAGAUUAAAAGAAAAUUGUUUUUUGCGUGGACAGCUGGGCUACAUCUCAUCAUCAGGCAGUUUUGACAGUAAUUCACAUGAAACUUGGCUCUUUCCUGGUUGUUUUUUAACCCAAAAAGUUAUUACUCAUAAAGUUAUUUAGCACAUCCCAAACUUUUAAGGACCAAAUUCUAUCCAUUUUUGUUCAAAUAGCACCACUCAGUGUUCAGUUCUGCUCGGAUCCUACCACCUCAUAUAGCAAGAUGUUAUACAAUAUGAAGAAAUAAUGCUUUGCAACAAGUUCUUGAAGUGAAUUAAUAAUCUGGAUUUCAAGAGCAGUCCCCACUGAUGCUUGUGCUGUAAAUGCAGCCGUGUCUGGAGCUCUGGACAAGAGGCGCUAUGGAGGAGUUCUCCUCCUUCAGUGGCAGAACAGGGAGCCCUGGGUUGCUGGUGAGCUCUCUGGGUGCAGAGAGCAGCACAAUCCUGUUGGCUGAGCACGUUUUUGCCCAGCAAAGACGCCGGGUUUAGUGGAUUAUCUGCGGGGCUCCAGGUGUUGAGGCAAACUCAACCUCCAAGCCUGUGGUUUCAGGAGACAAGGUUAUUGUGAAACUACACCAUGAAGUACAGCCCUGAUUUAUCUGAGAAGCUGGCACUGCAGAUUUACCCCACUGAAGUUCCUCAGAAGACUGGCAGGCUGAAAAAUGCCCAGUUCUGGGAGAAGCUAGAAGGAAAAACGAGAUCAUAAAAGAGAAAGUUAACUGCAGAGCAGUGAUUGGGCUCCUUGCACAGAAAUGUCAAGAACACCUGAAGCAAAUGACUCUGGUCUGCCAGCAUUACCAUGGAAACCCCCAAAAAUAAAGACUUUCCCAGCCUUAUGAGAGUACACCUGCAAGAGCAAGAACUGCCUAUCAAAAGUGACUUCUUCAUUAUGGGUGUCACCUAAGGACAUUUUGUGCGGACUGGAGCUUCCUGCAGUACAAAAGAACAGAUUUCCCAAGAAGUCUGGUGUUUGUAAGAAGAGAUCUUCCCAAAAGUACACAGGAUCUUGAGGUCAGGAAUAGCACUUCAGAUUGAAGAAAGUGUUAGAACCAACGCAUUCUAAUCUGCUCAAAAAGGACCCACGUUUGUUUCAGGAGUGAUUUUCCUUGGACAUCAGUGAUUAAUGGAAACUCCAGAUCACUUCAGUAAAAUGCAGUCUCACAAGGAAGAGCCUGCAACAUCUCAGAGAUCACAGUCUUAAAAAGGAUCCAAACCCAGUGAGCAACUGCAUCUUCCCUAAGUGAAACCUGUCCAUCUUCUAAAAUCAUCUCAUGGGGAGCAGAUGUCCACAGUAACAGCAAACUACUGUAACACCAACCCAGGAAAAACUAUGGCUAAGAUUACCCUUCCUUCUGAGGAGCAUUAGAGCUGACAAGAUGUGUGAAAUGCAGACCCAGGGAACACAGAUCUGGGGCAACUCUUCAAGACACGUUUUGAAAGGAUGUCCGUGGCAUGGAGGGGAUUGGAAUCACAUCCAGAGAGAACAGGUAUGUUCCUAAAGCCAUCUGGCCCUUGGUUACCAGGAUCUGUCCUCACACUCUGCAGGGAUAAUGUGCACAGAGUACAAAGGGAUCUCUUUUCCACAUCUGGGUAUUGCACCAGGAGCACUGGGUGGAGGGACAGAGAUGAAAUCUGUGGUUCUGCUGUGAAAGUAAGAUGCACAAUGCUGGCAUCUGGCAGCCAUGAAAGACACAUGAGGCAGAGCUGGGCCUCUGGGCUGAUGCCAGCCAGGGUGCCUGCAAGGAUAACAAGAGCCUGUAACCCAUGCAGAAGGGUCAGGAUGGCAGGACACAAUUAUGGCCCAUGCUGGUACUGCAACUGCAAAUUCCCUAGCUUCCCAGUUUCAGUAAAAGUCUAUCCAACAUCCUAAAUUAAUUUUAAACCCACAGGCAUUCAAAGUUCAUCACAAAUUACAAGGCAAACAAAACAUCCAGACAUACACAUCCCACUGAAAAUCAGUGGGAGUUAAGCCCCUAAAUACUCCAAUAGUUCUGACCAAAUAUUUUCCCUUUUUUCCCCCUUAAAAACCCCAGGUUGUGUCAUCCCUUUGAGCCUGUCUUGCUUGUAGCUUUUCUCAGCCCUAUAUUUCACUGUAACUGCUUGAGAGCAUCACAACCUGCCCAGGCAGCAGCACCUAUCUGGAGUUCCAGAGAUAGUGCUGGUGUCUCUGGAGCAUGCAGGACUCACUUCAACAACUGCUCUCCAGCCCACUCACAUGUUACCAGCUCCAUUUACAGGGACAAACUCCUCUCUGCCCGUCACAAGACAAGAUUACAGAUCCUGAAUGAAUCCAUGUCUAUACUCAGUAUUAAGGAAAUUUCAUGCAGGCAGUUUCACUUACAGACUUUCUUGCAAUGCCUAGGACCUAUCUGAGUUUCUAAAAAGUGAGUUUUUAAUUAUGAGCAGAGAAACAAUAGCUCACUUCAGCAUGAGAAAGAAUACACCCAUUAUUUUUCCAUGCUCUGUAAUUUAAAAAUAGGUCAACUCAUUAGCUUUAAAGCUUUCAAAAGUACUAAAACUGAAAUACAGGGCUCAGUUUGUUUUUUAAGCCAGACCCAGAGAUUGAAGAGUUUUAGACCAAUGACUACUUUAAGAUGAUGAAAGAGGAUAAAGUUUUUGAACUAUGAAUCUAAUACAGCCAGAACAGAUUGAUUUCAUAGUAAAUUUUUAAACAGAAAGUAAAUUUUUAAACAUUGACUAAAUUUGAAGCAUUUAAAUAAGACCAGAGCAUUAACUGCACACCAAUUCAGAAGUGCUGCAGGGUAUAUAAUUUGUCACUCUGCACAUAUCAAGAUGACUUUUCUCACAUUUUCCCAUUGUGUGCAUGGUCAGAAUGCAAACAGGGGCCAAAGUGCACCUGAACAGCCAAUUGAGAGACUUCCUAUAGGUAGUGUCAACCCGACAGAAUCAAUACAUACUGAAAAAAUUGACUGGGAAAAUGUAAUUUCUUACUCUGUGCUUAAAACCAUAACCCUGAGGGCCAGAAUUGCUCUCUUGGCAUUUUGUAAGUUGAGAACAACAGAAUUAUGGUUAGUGGGACAUUGACUCCCAGUGCUUCCCAUGACCUGGGGAGCACCUGGUGUGCAUUCAGUGUGAAACAGAAGUUCAUCAGUGCCAGUGCCCAACAGGUUUCAGGGCUGUGUUCUCUAUCCUCAGACUGAAGUUCAGGUUCCUGCUGCCCAAACAAAACUGGAGAAAAACUGCUGGUUGAAGAUCUUGGUAGGUAAGUCAGACCAAAACCCAACUACUCUGAGCCAUCUUGUACUUCCAGUCACUUCAGCUGAAAAUAAUUUGAUUUUUAAAUUGAAUUUAAGCAAGUUGUUAGUAAUCACUUUUCAAGUAUUUAUUUUAUUGAGGGAGGGAGGAGAGGAAAAUCAAGCUAUUUAGCUUUCCAAGUAUUUAACAUAAAACCCAGAAGAGCUCCAUCUGGCAACCAGCAGGAUUUCUAAAUAAUCUAAAUAGUAUCUACAUAAGAACCAGGCUGUCUAUGGAGUGAGACAACUUCAACUUUUACAGCCACAAGAAGUCUUUAUUAACAUAAAAGGAAAUUAUAAAGAAUUACGUUAGAACAGGAACAAGAGCCUGGCAAGCUGACAAAAGACCCCAGGAAUCUCUGCAUUAAUCUUGAAAUGCUGCUUUUGACUUGUUGGAAUAGAGCAUCAUACUCUGCAUGGUUUUAAAAAAACAAAAUAAAAAACCCUCUUAGGUUCAAAGGACUCAAGCACAAUAAAACCAGCUCUAGGAAAAUAUUCAGAUUAAUGAAAAUCAAUAUGUAAUUCCUUACUUUGCCACACAAAAAACAACCCUUAAUAUUUGAACAUACUUUGGAAAACAUCAGUAUUUAAUUAAAGUCAUGGAAAAAGGCCCUUCAUGUCUAUAGAUGUCUGUCUUCAUUAAGAAGAUGGUUCUGAGUACUGUUGCUAAUUAUGUAAAUUAAAUACACUUUUGAACUAGUUUUACAUAUAGAAAAUAUGGUAAUUCUAAUUCCCAAGUAAGUAAACACCUCAGAGUAUACAGUAUUUAAUUUUCUGAGUUGUUCAUAUGUAGGAUCUGGCCUUGCACUUCAUACCCAGCCCAUCCACUUUUUGGAUCAUUUGGGAGUGAUCCAAACCUGGUGGUGGUUUGGUGUCAUAUGGGAAAUAUUUAACUGGUCCUCAAUGCCCCUGUCAAGUUGCCAUUGGGAUUUUCUGUCAGUUUCUUGGCAAAGAAUCAGAGAGUGAAA